UACGAACGCUGGCGGCGUGCUUAACACAUGCAAGUCGAACGGAAAGGCCCUGCUUUUGUGGGGUGCUCGAGUGGCGAACGGGUGAGUAACACGUGAGUAACCUGCCCUUGACUUUGGGAUAACUUCAGGAAACUGGGGCUAAUACCGGAUAGGAGCUCCUGCUGCAUGGUGGGGGUUGGAAAGUUUCGGCGGUUGGGGAUGGACUCGCGGCUUAUCAGCUUGUUGGUGGGGUAGUGGCUUACCAAGGCUUUGACGGGUAGCCGGCCUGAGAGGGUGACCGGCCACAUUGGGACUGAGAUACGGCCCAGACUCCUACGGGAGGCAGCAGUGGGGAAUAUUGCACAAUGGGCGGAAGCCUGAUGCAGCAACGCCGCGUGCGGGACGACGGCCUUCGGGUUGUAAACCGCUUUCGCCUGUGACGAAGCGUGAGUGACGGUAAUGGGUAAAGAAGCACCGGCUAACUACGUG
rnacentral:rRNA from 1 species